GGGUAGUUUGACUGGGGCGGUCUCCUCCCAAAGAGUAACGGAGGAGCACGAAGGUUAGCUAAUCACGGUCGGACAUCGUGAGGUUAGUGCAAAGGCAUAAGCUAGCUUGACUGCGAGAGUGACGGCUCGAGCAGGUACGAAAGUAGGUCUUAGUGAUCCGGUGGUUCUGAAUGGAAGGGCCAUCGCUCAACGGAUAAAAGGUACUCCGGGGAUAACAGGCUGAUACCGCCCAAGAGUUCAUAUCGACGGCGGUGUUUGGCACCUCGAUGUCGGCUCAUCACAUCCUGGGGCUGAAGUAGGUCCCAAGGGUAUGGCUGUUCGCCAUUUAAAGUGGUACGCGAGCUGGGUUUAGAACGUCGUGAGACAGUUCGGUCCCUAUCUGCCGUGGGCGUUGGAAGAUUGAGAGGGGCUGCUCCUAGUACGAGAGGACCGGAGUGGACGAAUCACUGGUGUUCGGGUUGUCAUGCCAAUGGCAUUGCCCGGUAGCUAAAUUCGGAAGAGAUAACCGCUGAAAGCAUCUAAGCGGGAAACUUGCCUCGAGAUG
rnacentral:rRNA from 1 species